GGGACCUAAUCCACAAUCAUGUUAUCUUUUGUUUCUAAAGGCUUCCUAUACCUGGAAGCAGUGCUUUAUCAUUGCUGAACCAUUAACACAUAAUCUCACUUGUAUACAGAAGCUAGAUGUUAGUCCUUCAGUCUCCUUGACGCAGUGGUCCACUGGAUUUCCUACAGCACAUACUGUGCAAAAUCUAGAGGACUGUGGUUUUCAUGAAAUGUAACCGCAGACAUUGCUUUCUUCAAAACACAGCUAGAAGCAGAAAUGGAGGAGAUGCUUCUGGUCUGAUACAGGACAAAUAUCACAGUCCUGGGCAUUAGGAGUGCCCUCCUCACUGAAUGCUGAGGCAAUAGGCAGUACCAUCAUGCUCCUUUUCUUUUUCCUGAAAGACUUUUUACAACACUGUGGCAAGGGAGAGAUACAAACAGUGAAAGAGCAGUUUGGGAUGUUUUCCAAAAUGCAGGAGAUGAUUUUCUAAUCCCAAGACUGUGGUGCAGAUGGGAAGAUGCUGUUCCUGUGUCUGGCUUUCUUUUACAUAGGCAUUUAUGUCUGGGAGAGGUUUCAGGCUUUGACUUCAAGGUGGAGAGAGGAGCACACCUCUGAUGCUUACUAACCUGGGGGAGAGACCACACAUGAAGUCACAUUGUCACAACACUUGUUUUAUCAGGUAUUGUGCUGAAAGUAACAGUUACAGAGAGGGUAGAGUACCUGAUGUUACUGUACAGAGUGGCUUGGUCCAGCAUCUGUUGAAACUAUUUUUUUUUUUUUUAAUUCUUGCACUCUAGUAGGCAUUUAAUCCUACUGAAUAUUUGAUUUUGAGGUGAAGAAUCAGACUUACAUACCUUGGAAAACAGACAACUAAAAGGUAGGCUAAAACAAAAUUCUGAGAGUGAUUUUAUACAGGGAUUGAUAUUUCACCUUGCAACAACUGCAAUUAUACAAUAAAAAUAGGAAGAGCAAUAUUUUCAUAAACUUAUGAAUCAUUAUUAAUAAAUAAUGAUUUUGGAACCACUGCUUUCGGUACUUAGCCUCAUGCAUUUACAGGGCUGGAUAGUUGAGACUGGAUUCUAGCACCUCCUGAAGUGAACACCUUUUUAAAGUGGCAAGUAUACCCAUGAAAAAAUUAGGCAGCCAAAUUUUAAAGCCACUUCAGAGGAAAACCUGGCUUAACUGAUACAGCAAUAUUAGGUGCUUCAGAAAAGUUUUUUUAUAUAGGAGCACUACACUUAGAAUGUAGACUGAUGAAUUAACCAAAUGAACAAAGAUAUGGUUAUACAUAUAACGGGAUAGAAAAGAUACUGUUUCAUGGCAGCCCUCUGUUUAGGAAGAGAAUACCCAGUUCUCUGAUGCUUCAGUAAUUUUUUAUUCCACUCCCCCAAACUAAAACCAAAGCUUUUGCAACUCAUCUGCAAAAUACAAAUACUUAUUGGAAGCAGUAUAGAAGUAGAAAGCUGUCUUUUCAGCAGUACUAAAUGCUGCAAAAAGCUGUAACUAAAUCUAAAUAGAUUUUGUGUGUGUGUGUGUGUGUGUGUGUGCGUGUUUGGCUUAGCCAUAUGAGAAAGUACAGUAAAACAAAGAGUUUACAAAGCAGUGUCCUAUAUAUUUAUAGAUUGGAUAUAAAUAGUCUAGCUGCAAAUGUUGAAGUUCAAUUUCUUAAUUUCUCCUUUAUUUUUUUAGAUUUAUAAGGUUACAAGGUUAUAAGAUGAGCACAAUUCUUUUUGUGAUCCUAAUGCUGCUCCUGUUAGAUGAAAGAGAGAGAAUUCAAAGGAGAAGUUAAUAUAUAAAGUGGAUUUGGCUUAUGUUUCAUUAACUGAGUAUCUCCACUAAAGAAGUUCUCUUUUGGUAAGAUCAGCAUUUCUCAGGAUUGUUCCUCUUUUUCUCUUCCACUAUCAAUAAUCCUUCUACAUCUUCUCUGUUAAUGUAAUUGAAUUCAAUAUUGUCAGCUAAAACUGAUUCCCAAAUCCUCUUUACUGAAGGAGAUAGUCUGCAAUGGAAAAGGAGCAAAAUCCUAAAACAUGAGACUCUCUUUACACCUCCUCCCCCUCUCCUCCCAUGGCAAACUACUGUUGGGCCUAAGAUUCCUUUUGCGAAUGUGAUGAAAAAAGCUGCAUUAAAAUUAUUGAUCAGCUGUCAGUGACUUAAGGAUCCCAUCUCCUUUAAAAACAAACAAACAAAAACAAAACAAAACAAACAAAUGCAAAACAAACAAGCAAACCCCCAACCAGCCUUCAAUUGCAUAUAGUUAUGUUAAAACUCAAGCUAUUGCAACUAUAUGCAAAUCGGGUGACAGGAAAAGGAAGAAAUAAAUGUACUGUACAAAAGAUGAUUCUGCGUAUCAUCCUUGAUAAAGCAAUUGCUUUUGAUAAAAGUCAAUUCAUUUUCACUUUAAGAUCUGGUUGUUCUGAUUACUCAGCUAACUUAUUGAUGUGAAGAGUCUUCCUCCAAAACCAGAAAAAAAAAAUCUUUUUCAGGAUUUAGUUCCCUGAAGUUUGCUGGGCAACCCUCUCCCUUUGUCCUCUGACUAGUCACUGAACUUUGUUUCCGUGACUGUGAAACUACCUAGCCAUCUUAGGAGAGGUAUUCCUGCCACAUUACUCACACCCUCAAAAUAUAAGUACGUUAUAUUUUAGUGCAAAGUUUUUUCAUAUUCAGCUACUUUUAUUUAAUUUACUUGCAGUAGGGCCUUAGUGGAAGAGCAGAUAAGACUAUCACAGGGCUGCUAUGCAUCCUCUUAGUACUUAUUAAUGUAAUCUUAAAGUUGAUAUGCACAAAAACAAACAAACAACAAAC